CAAGACAUAGCUUAAUAUAAAGCACCUGGCUUACACCCAGAAGACCUCAACACCACUUGAUUGUCUUGA
rnacentral:tRNA from 1 species